rnacentral:SRP_RNA from 1 species
GCCGGGAGUGGUGGUGUAAUUCUGUGAUUCAACUACUCGGAGGCUAGGUAGAGAGGAUGUUUUAGGGGUGGAAAGUUCUGGAAUGGAAUUUCCCAAGUUGACUAGGCGUCCGCUAGGGGUUAAUCUUAAACUUGAAUGCCUUGGGAAAGCCCGAAGUAGCCAGGUAUAGUUUAAAUAGGGAAAAAAUCGAACCGAAAAGUCACUAAGUUGAGAAUCGUGAGUUCAAAUCCUGGAAGUGGAAGUUCAAUUUUAGCUCGUCUAGCAGGAACGGACCUGUACCUAA